AGGCCUACCAAGGUGCUUUGUGAUACCCUGUUGUGGUGGUGAACAGUGGCAGCAAGCCCUCAGUCAGCCAGUUGAACACAAGGGAAAUUCUUAUACUGCUGAAGUGAAUGGCCCAAGUACAAGAGACAAAGUCAAACAAUGCAACCAUAAAAACAGCCUCUGCUUAUAAACUGUCACAGGCACCCCAACUUCACUAACCACCACCUUGCUUAAUCAACAGCUGUCCACAUGAAAGCAAGACUCUUUACCAGCAAAAAGAUUAUCACACUCUGAAGGCUCAUAGGAUCAUUAGCAUUUUUAGAAAUAAAGUAUUUUUAAAUUAAGUUAUGUACAUUUUUUAGACACAAUGAUAUUGUACACAAAGUAGACUCUAGUGUAAACGUAACUUUUAUAUGCACUGGGAAAUCAAAAGAAAUCAUGACACAGUUUAUUGAAAUAUUUUUACUGCAGUGGGCUGGAACUCAAUUCCCUUAUCUUGGAGAUGGGCUUCCAUUUUUUCUUUACAUUGCAUACAUAGUAGGAGGUAAGAUUAUCUGUAUUGAGUGGGAGUGACAGUGAGGAGUGGUGUAAAUUACUUGAAAAAAAUGAGGAAGAUUUUAAAUAUGUCCUGAGAGGAAUGAAGAUGUGGACAUGAGACGAAUGAAGAUGGGGACAUAAAGACUGAUUCCCAAGUAAUUCUGAGGACUUAGAAGUGGUUAAAGAUCAUGCGUUUGGUAGUACUAUUGAUCUGGACAAGUAUUCAACCAUUUGUGGCAGUAUUUUCAUUGCCAAAGAAGAUAAUGCUGAUGGCUAGUUCAUUGUAUAAUGAUACUAUUUGCUUUAUUAUUUUCCUGACAUAUUCCUCUUAAAUAUAUAAGAUAAAUACAACUACUGCCUUUAUUUUACAGGACAGUGGGUGAGUAGCAAUUUUACUUUCCAAGUCUUCCAAGGGACAUCUGGCAAAUCUGCAUAUAUCUUAGGUCUUUACAACUGGAGAAGAGGGUGUUACUGACAUUUAUUGUGGAGGCCAGGGAUCCUGUAAUGCGUAGGACAGCCCUCCACAGUGAAGAAUUAUAUGGGCCAAGUGCCAGGAGUGCUGAGGUGGAAAAACUCUGUUUAUAGAUGAAGAAACAGGCUUACUAGGUAAAGUAAUUUGCUCAAAGUUACACAGCUGAAAAUGUUAAGCUAAUAACCACUGAACUGUAUUUGAAUGUGACACAGAGCCCUGGCUGCUCUUUUUGUAAUUAUCUGGUAAUAAUUUAGAUAUGUAGAGAUGAAAUAUGUACAAGUCAAGAAGGUUUAGAGUAUGGGUAUAUAAAAGGGUGGUGAAGAAUAGAAGUGGCGAUGACUGGAUUUGAGAACAAAGAAGUAUAAGAUAAGGGUGUUGAUAGCAACGCCUGCAAAGUAAUAUCACUGUUGUGUUUGAUUAUAGUAUUUCAAUGGAUAAAUAGAUUGUGAGUCAAGUAUUAUUGUUGCUAAAUGAUGAUAUCAGUGUAUAAAAGGAAGUCCUAUUAGAUUCAAAAUAAUAGGUGACUCAUGAAAUUACCUUUUAUGUAGGCGGAAAAUGGUUGAACAUUUUCUACUUUAUGUGGUUCAAUCUACUAGUUAGGAUUUCUACCAGAUAGUGGAAAAUAGUGGUUUGGAGCUAAGAGAAUACAUCAUACCCCCACCUCCAUGUUCUCUGGAUUUGGGAAGAGGAAGUGGUUCCUGCUAAAGAUAGCUGCAAAGAAAUGAUUCUUGGGAGAACUGCAGACCUGAAA